rnacentral:rRNA from 1 species
GCUUACGGCCAUACCAGCCUGGGUACGCCCGAUCUCGUCUGAUCUCGGAAGCUAAGCAGGGUCGGGCCUGGUUAGUACUUGGAUGGGAGACCGCAUGGGAAUACCAGGUGCUGUAAGCA